AUUGAACGCUGGCGGCAGGCUUAACACAUGCAAGUCGAGCGGGGGAAGUUGCUUCGGUAAUUGACCUAGCGGCGGACGGGUGAGUAAUACUUAGGAAUCUGCCUAUUAAUGGGGGACAACAUCUCGAAAGGGAUGCUAAUACCGCAUACGCCCUACGGGGGAAAGCAGGGAUCACUUGUGACCUUUCGUUAAUAGAUGAGGCUAAGUCGGAUUAGCUAGGUGGUGGGGUAAAGGCCUACCAAGGCGACGAUCUGUAGCGGGUCUGAGAGGAUGAUCCGCCACACUGGGACUGAGACACGGCCCAGACUCCUACGGGAGGCAGCAGUGGGGAAUAUUGGACAAUGGGGGGAACCCUGAUCCAGCCAUGCCGCGUGUGUGAAGAAGGCCUUAUGGUUGUAAAGCACUUUAAGCGAGGAGGAGGCUCUUUUGGUUAAUACCCAAGAUGAGUGGACGUUACUCGCAGAAUAAGCACCGGCUAACUCUGUGCCAGCAGCCGCGGUAACAC
rnacentral:rRNA from 1 species